UGGGAUACACCCUGUGCUCGCUUUGAGUUUAUGUUGCAAGUGAACACAGCUGGUGGUAUCCAGA
rnacentral:pre_miRNA from 1 species